AAUUCCUUUCAGAAAUAUUUAUUUCCUGGAGAUUGGAGGUGAAAACCUGGCCUCACUGACACCAGUGACAAAGUAAUUGGUGGCUUCAGAGGAUCCAAAAUAUCAUUGCUCUUCUUUAUAUACAUCUCUACUUUAAUAAUACAUGGCUGCUUUCAUAUCCUACAGGACUUUAUAGGCAACAGAAUUUAAAAACUGCCAUACUGGGUCAAAAUGAAGAUCAGUGGUCUUUCACUGAUUAGACAAGUGGUCUUUCAUUGACAAUGACCGUUAUUGGAUACUUAGAGUUUAAAAAGCCAAGGGAGAAAAUGUCUUUCCUAGGAUUUCUUUCCCACUGUCUGUCAAACAAAUAGAACUUCUGCAGCCCAUACUGGACCAAAAGCAUCAUGUUUACUAGCUGUUGAUGGCUCUGGAAUUUCUCCAGUCCUUUCUGGAAAUCACUAACUUUCAACUUUUACAGCUUUGUGUGGUGCUGUCCCACAGUUUAAUAAUGCUGUAAUAAUUGUAGAAAGUGCCUAUAAUUAAUUGUUAUAGUGUAUUGUUACAUUGUUAGAAUUAUAUACAUAGUUAAUUGUUAUUGCUAAUUGUUAUAUUUAAAAUCCUAUAAACUGUCAUAGUAAUUUCCUUUUCACCCUCUGUGUACGAUUAAUGACUCAAAGACUGGAGUAAUAUGUAUUGCUGUUGUAAUGAUUUCUUCCUUAUAAAACAGUUUUCCAAGACAU